UUUAUGGAGAGUUUGAUCCUGGCUCAGGAUGAACGCUGGCGGCGUGCCUAAUACAUGCAAGUCGAGCGAACGGACGAGAAGCUUGCUUCUCUGAUGUUAGCGGCGGACGGGUGAGUAACACGUGGAUAACCUACCUAUAAGACUGGGAUAACUUCGGGAAACCGGAGCUAAUACCGGAUAAUAUUUUGAACCGCAUGGUUCAAAAGUGAAAGACGGUCUUGCUGUCACUUAUAGAUGGAUCCGCGCUGCAUUAGCUAGUUGGUAAGGUAACGGCUUACCAAGGCAACGAUGCAUAGCCGACCUGAGAGGGUGAUCGGCCACACUGGAACUGAGACACGGUCCAGACUCCUACGGGAGGCAGCAGUAGGGAAUCUUCCGCAAUGGGCGAAAGCCUGACGGAGCAACGCCGCGUGAGUGAUGAAGGUCUUCGGAUCGUAAAACUCUGUUAUUAGGGAAGAACAUAUGUGUAAGUAACUGUGCACAUCUUGACGGUACCUAAUCAGAAAGCCACGGCUAACUACGUGCCAGCAGCCGCGGUAAUACGUAGGUGGCAAGCGUUAUCCGGAAUUAUUGGGCGUAAAGCGCGCGUAGGCGGUUUUUUAAGUCUGAUGUGAAAGCCCACGGCUCAACCGUGGAGGGUCAUUGGAAACUGGAAAACUUGAGUGCAGAAGAGGAAAGUGGAAUUCCAUGUGUAGCGGUGAAAUGCGCAGAGAUAUGGAGGAACACCAGUGGCGAAGGCGACUUUCUGGUCUGUAACUGACGCUGAUGUGCGAAAGCGUGGGGAUCAAACAGGAUUAGAUACCCUGGUAGUCCACUCCGUAAACGAUGAGUGCUAAGUGUUAGGGGGUUUCCGCCCCUUAGUGCUGCAGCUAACGCAUUAAGCACUCCGCCUGGGGAGUACGACCGCAAGGUUGAAACUCAAAGGAAUUGACGGGGACCCGCACAAGCGGUGGAGCAUGUGGUUUAAUUCGAAGCAACGCGAAGAACCUUACCAAAUCUUGACAUCCUUUGACAACUCUAGAGAUAGAGCCUUCCCCUUCGGGGGACAAAGUGACAGGUGGUGCAUGGUUGUCGUCAGCUCGUGUCGUGAGAUGUUGGGUUAAGUCCCGCAACGAGCGCAACCCUUAAGCUUAGUUGCCAUCAUUAAGUUGGGCACUCUAAGUUGACUGCCGGUGACAAACCGGAGGAAGGUGGGGAUGACGUCAAAUCAUCAUGCCCCUUAUGAUUUGGGCUACACACGUGCUACAAUGGACAAUACAAAGGGCAGCGAAACCGCGAGGUCAAGCAAAUCCCAUAAAGUUGUUCUCAGUUCGGAUUGUAGUCUGCAACUCGACUACAUGAAGCUGGAAUCGCUAGUAAUCGUAGAUCAGCAUGCUACGGUGAAUACGUUCCCGGGUCUUGUACACACCGCCCGUCACACCACGAGAGUUUGUAACACCCGAAGCCGGUGGAGUAACCUUUUAGGAGCUAGCCGUCGAAGGUGGGACAAAUGAUUGGGGUGAAGUCGUAACAAGGUAGCCGUAUCGGAAGGUGCGGCUGGAUCACCUCCUUUCU
rnacentral:rRNA from 1 species